GGUGAAAGCCUUCCUGUAGAGGUGAUCCUUGGCACCAGUAGUGUGGAAGAGGAGCGAGAGGCACACCAACACCAGCAGAUGAGUCUCCGUUUAAUACUUGGGAUAUUAUAACAGUAAGUUAUAGCUUCAGAAGUCAGUCACCAGCAGCAGAUGUCACACAGUUAUAAAAUGGGAAACUUGAAGAAUAAGCUCCAGAAGUCAGCAGCAGCAGCAGCCACCGUCACACAGCCAUAAUGCGAGAAGCUUGAAGAAUAAUGUGUUAUGGCUCCGAUAGUCUUCCAGCAGCAGCAAAUGUUACACAGUCCUAUAGAGGCAAACUUGAAGUAUAAAGUAAUAGUGUUUUGCAUACAAUGGCAAACUUGACCUUUCGCUUAAAAUGGAGGUACAUUUGCACUGAGUUUAAUGUUAUGACACGUGAAUGGAUUACCAGUGAUGUAUAUCAGCAAUCAUCAGAUUGCAAUCCAGUUAAGUACCUGUGAGGCAUGAGAUGUCAAAAAUACUUGUGGGUUAUUGGUAGCCUGUGUCAAGGCAUGUAGCACCUCAAAGUUUGUAAGUACAGUAGCAUUUUGUUUUCUGCUUUACUGAAAAAUUGGUAGCUGUAGCACCCAUUCUGACAUUCAAUUAUUUUGAAUUUCAAGUUUCUUAGAAUGAUACUGACAUCAGUUUGUUAACACUAAUCCGUAUAUUAUUGUUAAUAUAUGCUGCUAUUUUCCUCAGAUGUUAACUGAAAUUGUUUUAUUGUUAUGAUAACAACACUUCAGCCUUUGCAAACUUGCAGUAUAGGUUACCUGCUGAGAAAUAUUUACUGGAAGGAAUGGUUUCUUGAAUAGGACCGAAAGGAAAACCACUGAAAAUGCCAAACGUGAAUUGGUGAAACAUCUUGUGCUCAAUACUAAAUUUCAUUUGCAAAACACGGAAGUUUUCCUAUCUUUGUGGUGGAACACAACAAAUUCUCAUAAUUUUGCUAGUUUGUAUUCUAGAAAGGGUGCCAGAAAUGGAAGAGUAUAAUUUUUAUUAAAUCGGGCAUUAAAUGUAAGUAGGUUGGAGUACAGAAAGGGUGCAACUGGCCUUCCCCACUGUAGCCUGAUGUGCUCCAACAUGCAUUUGUACUGAUGUGCAGGUGGUUAUAACACUAGUAUCAAACUGCAUGGUACCCACUUACUAAUGUGACCUACCCUUGCAUGAUCUUCUGCAGACAGCAAGAAAUCCGCUACUGCUCUUACUACCUGUCCAACAGUUGUGGAGGAUUUUUUGAUUUUUUCCCCUUGGUGCUUGACAUGACAUGUUUUGCCCUCUGCCCUUAAAAUCUCAAUUCUUGUUACAUUUUUCAUCCAUUUUCUAUCUCCUGAUGGACCUGUAUUGAUUAAAAAACUAAUCACUGCAGAGGUGAUUGUAGAACUCUUGCUAGUGGCAGUGUGGAGGGGCUCCACUCUUUAAAAAAUAAAAUUACAUUGUGGGACAUGGAAUUAUUAUUAGAUGCUUUCAUGGACAUUUUGUUUACUGAAAAAGUCAGUCAUUAUCUGAGGUAUUUAAAUGUUAACUUCAAAUCUAAAACUGCAUCAAAAGAUAAAUUUCAGUAAGUCUUUAACAAGUUUCAGUAUCUUGCUUCACAUGCUGGACCCUCCAACUAUAAAAAACAGUGUUUUGCAGAGAACAGCUAUUCAGAUGUUAACAUCCCAGAAUUUGUGUAGAAGAUAUCCCUUACAUUGUUAGUUUCAUUGUGGUCACACUCUACAGUGUAGUGUUAUCAGCAUACAUACAGAAGUUUGAAGAACAUAUUAAAUUAAUUGCUAGACAUGCCUUAAGUGAAUAUGUUUACUACUAAUAUGAGUCAGCUAAGUAGUUGCUGCAA